rnacentral:lncRNA from 1 species
UCGCCAGUGCUCAGGAGCUUCCCCCGCCCCUGAGCGGUAGAGUCCUGGCCGGCCUUGGAAGCCCCCCGGAGCCAUCGCCCCACCCCAUGCCCAUCUUAAUGCCCUCCACUAUUGUGGGAGACAUUUAACCUUGGAGAGAGGAGGUCUUGCCCUUAACCCCUCGCCCCCCGCCCCCAACAGAGGAGACUGUCUCAUAGAAACCUUGGAAGCAAACAAGAUGCCAGGCCUAUCCGUGCUUGGAGAUACUACUACGGACAAGGCCACAGAGAGACAACGCCAGCAACAUCCAGAUCUUAGGUGGGUUCUCUGGACCAAUGGCUAUCCUGGACAAACUUCUGGACCCCAUGGACUUCAUGACCAGACAACCAGGUUGCUGCUUACAAGCGUCUGCAUCCAUCGAAGGCUUCUUGCAGCCCACCAGCUCUCUGAAACUUUCUGGAGUCAAACCUCCCCUAGACUGUCUGCAAGUGCCACUUGGCUUCUGGAUGGGAAUGUGGCCCUGCUGGACACUCCCCAGAGCCAGGUGGACCCAGCCCCUUGGACCCUCUGCCCAGUCCUGAUGAUACCCUGACAGAGGACAUGACAUACUUGGCCAUUCUGAAGGAGAUGUGCAAUUUCCAGACAUCUGCAGGUCUCCACUCUAGACCAGGGUUAGGGGCUCAGAGUGGAUCUGAUCUAGAUCAACAUUUGUGGUUCUGGGUGUAGCUCUCUGGAGCUUGAAUGGUGUUUCCAAUGGGCGCCCAUUGCCAGGGCCACACCUUCAAUGCACAAAGGGAAAACUAAGGCAGUCUUCAAAGAGACAUCAUUUGCCGAGGUCACAAGGCAAGACAAUAUAUUUGUUGCUAAGGUUAGAACCCAGAACUCUGCCUCCUGGACUCUUUUGAGUCCAGCUUUUGAAAAAUACUUAGGCUCACUGCGCUGUGUGUGAAUCAAAGACCCGUUUCAGGAUCUACUUCUCGAGUGUGGACAUGGCCCUUGGGUUACCUUGCUCUGUGCCCUCAGUCACCCACUUCAGUUGGGCCUCUGAGAGUCUCUGAGGGACCAUGCUGAGAGGAUUGUCUUCCUUCCACAAGACUGAAGUGAAGGGAACCACAGAUGGUAGUUACUUCCGACACAGGCCGUGCAGACUGCUCUGAGGUCUUGUUCUGUGCAUUUCAGACUCCAUCAGAUUCCUCCAAUGGUGAGUCCCCUGGUGAAGCAGGCACAGACCUGUAAGAAUGACCCUGGCUAGGUUGGAUCUAAUGAGGGGGAAAGUCAGCGAACUGCUUGCUUUCCAUUGAGCUACAGCCUCGGAAAGCAUUCCUUUCCCCAAGUCCAGACAGUCCUGUUGUUCAGGACUCCCAGGUGACCCUGCUCAUCCAGAGCCGACCGUGAGGCGUGGUCCCCUGGAAGACUUUAGGUCCUUUCAGACCCUGGCACUGUGCACACGGGCUUGACUUCUCCCAAAACUGGGUUUUAGUAUUGCAGUAUUCAAAUUCCAAAGCCUGAGGGGCACAGGGCCAAGUGGAACCUGGACAGGCAUGCUCGGGAGGCCAGAUAUAGGAGGAUGAUCUUUUCAGGGCAAGUGUUCUGGUGUUCUUGCACAUUGCAAAUAGGGAAAGUGAGGCUCUUAGAGGAGAAGGGGCUAGCUUGAUAGCCCCAGUGGACAGAGUUAGGUCCAGAAUCCAUGUCUCUUGACUUUCCAGCCUGGGACUCUGCCUCAAACACAAGCUGCUGGCACUGAGGCUAAGCUCACUUCCUCUUCAUCCCCAGCCAGGGCUGGGCCACUCAGGAGCUCUCCCAUUCACCAGAUGGUCCUUUCCUCCGCAGCUUCCUGGUGUCCCCUCCUCCCCCACAUAGUGUUCAUUUCUUCCUUGUUCCAGAAGCUUCUCCAGCAAUGGGCCAGAACAGCUGCUUCUCUGCUUCUUGCCACAGCUCAACCAACUGUGGUUGCAACACUUGCAGGGGUGGGGGUGUCCCCAGCUCUCUGCUCUUGGAGUCUCUUCUCUGUGGCUCCUAGGGAUUUCUUCCUGACUCUGGACCAGGCCUGUUGACUGUUUCUGAUCUCCUGAUUUUUAAAGCCCCUCUGUCUUUCCUGGCCCCGCUUGGCCUCCCUGAAGAUGCCCUGCCCUCUGCAUACCUAGGGCCAAUAGGAGUGAUGAGCCCAUGUCAUGUCUGCUCUGGGAUUCUAAUGACCCAAUCCCUACACCAGACACACAAGGCAUGGACAUCUGCUCACCUGUAGGCUCCAUGUCACUGGGUACACGCAGGUGAUAUUACAGACAAGUGUAAAGCUUCGGUCUGUGGUGGCCUGCAGGUUUGUGUGUACCUAGGUAGAAGAGGAAGUGAGGAGGCACCAGUCAGAAGCAACUCUGAGAAACAGGAGCCAGAAUUUAAGCUGGGUAAGAACAUGAAAGAUGGCCAAGGAUUGCAAUUGUUGGCCCCUGGAGAACACACUGGGACUGGUCUUGGAUGUUCUGUUCUGUACUGGAGGGAUAUGGGAUGCCUGCUGACACACAGGAAGGGUCUGAACCCAGACCCUCAGGGUCACUAGGUAUGCGUACCUCAGUUUCCUAAGGCUCAUUGACUUCUUUGUUCGUUUAUUCGGAGAACAGCACCUAUUCUGGCCACCUCCAUAAGGAGGGUUUCAGGAAGCACCCAGGGCUAUGAACCCAUCGAGCCACUUCUGUCUGACUGCAUUCAAAACGAUAGUUUCCUUAAGACAAUGGCCACUCCCCGUGCAUUCUCCAACACUUACUCCGUUCCUUCCGUGCCUAUGGCUUUGUUCUGAGUGUUUUGACAAAUUAGUUCACCUGGCUCUUGUGUCAGAGCUCUAACACAAAUUGUAUUCUCCUCUUCACAACUCUAUUUAAUACACUGGUAAACUGAGGCAUGAGAGGCUGCAGUCCUUACCUCAGCAGUGUCACAGUCUGUAACAGAGGCAAGACCUCCCUCCAGGCCCCACCCUCUUGCCUACCCUGCCUUGGCUCUCUUCCGGUCUCUAUGCGAAGAUCCUAUGUAUUCAGACCCUUCUUUUAAUUUUUUAAUGGCUUUUUUAUUUACUCUGUGUGCAUGCAUGUGAGUGAGUGUGUGCCGUGGUUUAUGUGUGGCAGUCAGAGGACAUCUUUCGGCUCUCCUUCCACCAUGGAGGUCCUGGGGAUUGAAGUUAGGCUGUCAGGCUUGGCAGCAAGUGCCUUUACCUGAUUAACCUUGCUGCCCACCCCUAACCCCUUCUUGCUGGCUCUUCCAUUCGGAAUAAGGCAAACCAUGCCCUUUCAGCCUUCUUUUCACCGAGAAGAAUUAUCUUCCUUCUUUUCAUCUUCUCAAUUUUUCCUACAAAUAUACCUGGAAUGCUUCGAUCAGAGCUGAUGGCAGACAAAGGUGACAGCUCCUACCCAGGGGUCUCCAAUACAAGCCAGAGAAGACAGCAGCUCAUUAAUGAAACGAAGUGUAAAACUGUCACCAUCACAACUGGCAACAGAAGCACAGGGAACCCUGGGACCUACAGCUGGGGAUUUGACCCGAUAGAGAAGAUUUUCUGGAGUGAUAUUUGAGCCAAGCUAUUGUGAAAAAUGAGGAUCAGGUGCAAGGAGAGGCAAGGGGCGUGCAUGUGUGCACGGAGCUGCAGAACCACAAUGGAAGAGCUGCCUGUGGCUAGAAGAGAGGGACGGGGAGGAAGGAGGCAGGGUCGGGGGUUGGGGGGAAGAUCACCAGAGUGCAGCCUGGGAGAAGGCUUAGGGUGGCUCCUCACAGUUCUUGACAUCCUUGAUGAUGGAAGCUAAGCCUGGCCACUUCACCUCAUAGGACAGCUCCUGCAGCCAUACCUGCUGCGUAAAGAAGCCUCAGCUCCCUUCCCCCACAGCACCACCUCAUUCCCAUCUAAUUAAUUGUUUGCUUUUACCUUGGCUACUGCUACUCACCACACCUUAUAAAGCCAUGAGACCACGCUCUUGCUAAUCUCAUCCUCCCCACCCACCCAGCACAGCCACGUUGGUCAGUUGGCCACUUGACUCCCAAGCAACGUGGCGCAAACACACCUCCCUAGGAACCCCACUGCCAUAUCCCUAGGCUUGGUCUUCCCCAUGUUGCAGCCACCGAGCACCCCAGAUGCCCCUUUCCAGACAGCAUCUCAUUCAGAUGGCUUCCUCUUACCCUGUGGAAGCUCCAUGAUGUUAAAGCCAAGCUUGUGCCUCUCCCCGACCCCCGCCAGUAUCCACCAGAGAGGCUGGCCUCUGGCCUCAAUUCAUCCCACAGCCCUGUGCAGUGAGCGUGACAUCCAUCCCCACGGUCCCUGUGACAGAUGCUGGCAGUAUGGCGGCCAGCCUGAGGUCCCGUGUGGGUGGGCAAGGAAUAGCAUUUGAGAAGCAGAGGCAGGAGGGUCACAAGUUCAAGGUUAUCCUCUGCUAUAUAUGAGGAUGCAUGCGAUUCUUUCUCAAAUUUUAGAAAAUGUGCAUCAAGGAAGAGGCACAGGUCGGGUGUGAGGGCAGAGGGGGCAAGCUAGUCACCUCUAGAAGAUCAGCAGGGCAGAGUUCCCUUGCUGAGGAAAGUCAGACAUGAACAUGUGAGGCAGAUCUAGAGGGCAGGGGCCACACCCUCGGUUUCUAUCUUCAUGCCACUGAGGCACAUGGGGUCCCUGGUCUGAAUUUUAUCUCUGGUCCAUGAAUUAAUUUUCCUCUCCUCCUUGGAGCAGAUGCCUCCAGUCAGCCCCAUCCUCAAGCCUUGCCCAGAUACCUUCAAUUUUCUCAUCCAGGUUCCAGUCUCUCCCUCCUGCCCACACCAUCCCUCCCCGCCCUCACCUCUGCUCAGCCCACUCCCCUGGCUCUGACCGUUUCUAUGCGUAGGUGGCAGCGUGUACCCUCUUCACAGGAGAUUUGUUGAUUUCAUAACCAUAAAUAGAUAAAAUGUUCUGAGUGCUUCCAUGAGCGAGUAGAAUUGAGGGAGUGAUCACACAAUGAAAAGGCUGUAGGAGAAGGAAAACAGCCUGUGGAGACACAGCUGAAACCGGCUUGGUGCUGCACAAACCAGCACUACCUGAGGGCGAGCUUGCCGUUGCAUAAGAGGUAUACCAUAAACACAGGACUUGGGACUGCCAGAGAACCUUCUGGAAAACACUUAUGAGACUGCAAGUCUGUCAAUUCAAAGGAACAAUAUAUUAAGAAAAUCUAGAUUUAAAAUGAAAACAGAACGUGGAAGCCAACAAACAUGGAUUUUUAAUUCUGAGUUCAUCUCAUUUUGGCUGUGUGACUAUGAGCAAGUUUCUCAUCCUCUCUGGGAAGGUGUAUAUUCAUCUCUUGGGUCAGACUAGAGGGACCAAUCAUAUAAUAUGCUCAUUUUUUCCUCUAAGAAAAAGUGGUCUUCUCGAUUACAACUUAACCUCCAAUAUGGAACAAUUUGUCUUCCCAAAACGCAGUCCCAAGACACUAAGGAUGGAUAGGGUAACCUGCUUUUUCAUUGUCAAGUAGAACUCAUGUUGACAUGGAAAUGGGUUAUGCACAAUCAUUCUUGGAUGGGGAGACCAUAUAUUCAUAGUUACAAAGAAAGCUAGACAUUAGGAAGGACUUCCCAAGUUCUUCUCCCUAAGAUGGGUAAAGAGAGUAGAGAGAGGAUGUGACAGCUCAGUUUGUUCUGAGACUGGAGAGCUUUCCAGAGAGAGGGAAAGCUAUUUCUUUACCUUCUGCUCUAAGGGUGGCAGGAUUUUCUGUCAAGGGUUAGGUAGUAGGUGUUUGGGCUUGGUGGGAGCUCUAGUCCCUUCUGCACUUAACUCUGUGACUGUGUGAAGAAGGGCACCAGCCAUAAGUAUGUGAAUGGUCUGAAUGUGUCCCAGUAAAACUUCAUUAAUGAAAAGAAACAGCGGACCAGAUUUUAUUCGGUGCCAUAGUGUAUAGGCCCCAAUCUCGUUCUACACGGCAAGAGAACAAGUUUGAAUGGGGAGGAAUGAACCAUGCACAGGGCACUGCCAGAGCCCUGCUGUCUGACUUUAAGUCAUUGCUCACUUCUGAUCUUAACCUCAUCGACUAUAGAAUGAACGUAAUAAUCUCAAUCAUCAGUCCUGAGACAAUAGCUAAGAGGAAGGUUAGGGUGGCUAGGAAGGCUGUGUGUCAAAGUGAAAGAACUGACGCCUGCAAGUUAACCUCUGACCUCCACACACAGACACCAUGACACAUGUGUGUUCUCUUCAUGUGACAAAUUAAAAAUUGCAAAAUAAAAAGUGCCUAAGAGAUCAGAGUAAGUCUCUCUCUCCCUUUACUCCACCCCUUUGAGUGGCACUGAGUCUAGCAGCACACGAGGCCACAUCCUUGUCUGCUGCAGGUGACGGUGGCCUUCUUGGAUGGAGACAAAUAUUUCAUUAUAGUUGGAUUCUUGGUCUGUCUUUCUAACAUGCGGUCCUCAGUGACCCCAUUUCUGGAGCAAGCCCAGCACAGGAGGAAACGAGGAAUCUCUCUUCCUCUCCACUGUCCGGGCAUUUGGCAGGGUGCUAGAGUUCAUGUCAGGGAGCAACAUGGCCGCAGUGGCUGGUGCCAGACCUUGGGAGAGGCCUUCAAGACUCAGGCUGGGAUCAGAGUCAGGAACAGAAAGCUCUGAGUUCUCCCAGAACAUUCAGCUCUGGUCCCAGCUUCCCUGGGGUCUCCACGAAGCAGCCACAGCUGUGGUCCACUGGGAACCUGCAGCCCCACCCACGGCAUCAUAAAGUGAAAGUUGUCCUGCUCAUCUGCUCAGAUGAUCUCGGAGUGCUGCAUCCUUCAGCACUGAUUUAUCUCAGAAGCCCUAGCAAGGGAUUCCUUUAUUUUCUCAUUCUGUCCCUCUUCCUCUUCCCCUCCCUCUCCUUUGCUUCAUCCUUCCUUCUCUUCCUCAUAGGCAUACUUGUGCAGACAAAUACCACAUGUAUGCCGACAGUCCCCCGUCAACAUCCUUGCUCCAGUAUUUGAGAAAAGGAGCCAGGAGUCUCCAUGAUAUUCUUAAGAAUCAAACCCUCCAUUCCAAUUCCUCAGGAGGUCUUCCUCCUGGACAAUCUCUGAAAAAGAUGCACCAUUUCUCUAAUAGGGAUUGAGGGGUGAUGACCCUCUAGAGCCCCAAUAAAGCCAUGAAGAGAGGAGCAGAGGACUUCAUGGUCUGCUCUUGCUAUAAAAAGGCCUUUUUCGGGAAAAAAAUAAAGAAAGGAAUCAGCCAAUCCCUUCACGAUGCCAUCACCUCUUCUUGGUGGUUUUUCGGGGAAGGAGUGGGUGGGUUUCCAUGGCAACAGAUGCGAGCUCUGCUCAGUAAAGAAGGGACCUUGAUAUUUUUUCUCUCUCAUUCUCUCAGUUGUGUGUGUGCCUGUGUGUAUGUGCGUGCUACACAUGCCUAUGCCCACACCAGCAAUUUUUUUAGAACUAAAGAAAGCCCUUCUAUCAGCUCCCCAAAUAUGGAGUGAUAGAAAACCAUGCACUCCUGCAGGCCAGAGAAGGUUCUGGAUGGUUCCAGAGAAGGGUGCUCCUGUGAACUUGUUUUCCUCCAUUGCAGAGAUUGUGUGCAGCAGAGAGGCCUUUGCAAACUGUUAGAGGCUAAGAGUUAGAAAAAAGGAUGUUUGGUGGAGAGAGGGGAACAAAGGAUAGAUGGUGCAAAAACCAACGAAUGGCGUCCUAGUGGGCAACCAAAGGUGCACGGAGUCUCAGGAAGCACAGUCAGCACAAACCACCUAACGCUGAAGAAAAGGCUCAAGGCAGACUCAUAUAUGGACACAAACACACAGAGAGGUAUAAAAGCAAAUAUAUUAGGCAAAACCGCAAAACUGCAUACAACACAGAAAGGCAGAGACUUAGAGAAAUAAAACAGACAAAUAAAAACACAGAUGCAGGUACUGGCAGAUAUGUAGACACACAAGGAUGCAGAGCCUAUCAUCAAAACACAGGCAAAUAGAUACAUGGAUGCAGAUAGAUAAGUGUAUCCAGACAGAUAGGUUUGGAUGCAGACAUAGAACAUGCAACACAGCCUCAUUCAAGUGCACACACUCGUGUGCGCUCACACACACACUCCCCUUUCCCCCUUCAGUUGCUCAAGCUUCCUAUAGCAGGAAGGCAGAUCUGCAAAUGCUGCAUGUUCACCCAGUAAGUUUGGCUGUGAAUAUCUUGUAACCCCCACCUAUUGCUUCUACACACACACACACACACACACACACACACACACACACACACACACACCCCAAAGCCCCUCUCCCAACUUUGUCCACUUUCCCAUAACCAAAGGCUGUGAUACCUCCCCCAUCUCAGGCUUCCAAUUCUGUUUUGCUGCUGCUGCUGCCGCCGCCUGCCGCUUGGGGGGGGAGAGAGUGGGGUGACUCAGCCAGGCCAGGAUGACUCACACUGACAGUAUUUUUAGCAGCGGCCAGGAGCUCUCUAGCGUGCCAGCCGCCCCCCUCCUCCUGCUUGCUAUUUCGGAACCGUCACUGGUGAUAUAAAUAGCUCUUCUCCCACGGCCUGAAGCUGCUGCCAGGCUAUUUUUGGUUCUGCACAGUUAAAAAUAGUUUCAUGGAGGUGGGAGGCAAGAGGAGUGGGAGCUGGCCUAGGGAGAGGAGACAUUGGGGGCAUACAGAGCUUCUCAACUUGAAUCAGAGUAGUCGAACUAAGAUGAUCCCUUCCCUACCCCCUCCCUUGCCCCUUUCUAGAACCUUCUCCCCUUCCAACGUUCCUUAUCCCUAGUCCAUCCUCCUGGAAAAAUCCAAGGAUUCCUCCCUUGAGCCCAAUUUUCUUUCCAAGCUUAACUAAUUCCUAGAACCGAGGAGUCUUGACAGCCACACCUGUAAAUAGCCCAUAUGUAUUCUCAAUGAGGAGGAUGACAGCAUCGGGAUGCCAUUCUCAUCUAUCCCGAGGCCCAGCUCGGCUUUGAUGUCACAGGCAAACCACGACCAUUCUGAGUGGGAAGGCAACAUUCAGCACCACGGACAGCGACAACAUCCCCCCCCCCCCUCCCCCUUCCAGGUCUGCUUAAAUUGCUUGGAGACCAGCUGUGGACCCAGCAGAGAGAUGCAACUUAUUGUGGAGGAGAUAUCAAGAACGUCUCCUGGCCAGGGCUUAAAGCACCUGUCUGUGAGGAAGACAGGGCAGAGAUGAACCCCAGAGAUAGAAUGGUUGUCUAGCAUACACAGAGCCCUGGUUUCAUCCUCAGCUUUGGGAAACUAAUCUAGAAACUCCAUCUUGGAUUUGCAUAUGGAAAGAGAAUCCAAAAACCAAGGGAAGAGAAUGGAACAGGGAGUGGUGGUGUUGAGUGGGGAUAUCAGAGUUAAUAAGGAUGAAACAUGCCAGAGAGAAAUACAUCCUGAAGAAACCAUUUCUGUCACCCAUAAGGUUGGAAACAGUGUCUUACAGACACACACCAUUUUCUCCAUCUCAGCUAUACCACUGGCUGGCUACAUGGUUGUAUAUGUAGAUGCUUUCUAUCUGAACUAAAAUUGUACAAAAUAUUAGGAUAGGGGCUCUACAACCAUGAACCUCUCCCCGCCCCUCCCCGGCAUUACUAGGGAGUGCACUCAAGUCUUGAGCAUGAUAGAAGUGUGAACUCCUACUAAGCCAUGGCCCUGGUCACCAAAGUACCCUCUUCCCAUACCCCCUGCUUUUCACUCCACGUUGCCUCUCUUGCUAUCACCCCUUUCCAUGAAGAACAGGGGUUUCUUGACCACAAACUUUUCUCCUUGGUGUCAAAGUUCAUCUCUAACUUUCUGCAGCCAGUUCUGUCCCUCUCUCCCAAUUUUUUUUUGUUUUUUGUUCUGUUUGUUUGUGUGUUUUUGUUUUUUGAGACAGGGUUUCUCUGUGUAGCCUUGGCUGUCCUGGAACUC